UGCAUUGGUUUAAUAUAAGUUUACGAGUAAUAAUAUCAUCACACACUUUUAUAUUCAUUUGACACAUAAUACAAUGGUAAAAUGAUUCAAAAAGGGUAAAGUUUUUCAAAAACUUAAGGUAAUGAGUAAUGGGUCUUAUAUGUUGCUUAAGUUUCAUUAGUGUUCUAUCUCUCCAAUUAUACUCCUCUCCUAUAGACACAAGUGGUAUCAAAGCCUAAUGACAAGCCCAAAUAGUUUGAACCACUUGAACUAGCCACCCAACUUUAAUACCAGUGUUGGGCUUCUAAGAGAGGGGAUUCAUUGGAAAAUACAACUCCAAUGAGACCCAAAUUGAACAAUCGACACCACUCUUAACCCA
rnacentral:lncRNA from 1 species